rnacentral:rRNA from 1 species
GUCCUGGCCCUAAACGAUGAUGCUUGGUGUGACGGGUAUCGAUCCCUGUCGUGCCGAAGCUAACGCAUUAAGGCAUUCCGCCUGGGGAGUACGGUCGCAAAGGCUGAAAACUCAAAGGAAUUGACGGGGGCCCGCACAAGCGGUGGAGCAUGUGGUUCAAUUCGACGCAACGCGAAGAACCUUACCCAGGCUUGAACUGCGAGUGACCACUCCCGAAAGGGAGCUUCCGCAAGGACACUCGUAGAGGUGCUGCAUGGCUGUCGU